GAGACGACACAAAUCUAAAACUCUCUCCAUCAUGUCAGCUCUCAGUCACUGGUUCUGAACUGAUCAGGUGGACAGGACGAAGUUCUCCUGGAACACUUCAUAUUACUUGUUACUACGUUGUGGAUAACUCUGUUUGUACUCCUUCUCCUCACUCUCUCCCAGCUCCAGUCACAGUGCUGAAUCAGAAACCGAGACUAAGCGUCAGUCAUGAUGGUCAGUUUGAUGUAUUCAGAUUUGUGUGUGAAAUAUCAGGGUCAGAGUCAGUAACUGCUGAUUUUAGCUGUAAUCUCUACACUGGAGAAAAUCCUCAGUUUUUCCUAAACCAAAGAUCUCUAAAGGGAAACUCUGUGAAGGUUUGUAGUUUUACAGCACAGAGAGACGCUGUGUUUAAUCGUCUGCAGUCAGUAAAGAGUCGUGAAGUGAGCUGUGAUUAUUCACUGAUCUCUGACCCGACUGCUCGCUCUCUAAUGAGUGAUAAAUACAACAUGAUGCAUGUCUUUACAACAACAAUAACAACAACGACUCAGACAUCCACUCCUGAAGAGAAACCCAGUGCAGGAACAACAGCAACAACAACAACAGCAACAACAACAAUAACAACAACAACAAUAAAGAGUGAUAAAUACAACAUGACACGUUUCUUUCCUACACCAACACAGCCGUCCAUCACUACUGAGAAAUCCACUGC
ensembl:lncRNA